rnacentral:rRNA from 1 species
AUUUCCCAACUUCGGUUAUAAGAUCCCUCAAAGAUGAUGAGGUUAAUAGGUUCGAGGUGGAAGCAUGGUGACAUGUGGAGCUGACGAAUACUAAUCGAUCGAAGACUUAAUCAA